UGGGGAAUUUUGGACAAUGGGCGAAAGCCUGAUCCAGCAAUGCCGCGUGUGUGAAGAAGGCCUUCGGGUUGUAAAGCACUUUUGUCCGGAAAGAAAUCCUUGGCUCCAAUACAGUCGGGGGAUGACGGUACCGGAAGAAUAAGCACCGGCUAACUACGUGCCAGCAGCCGCGGUAAUACGUAGGGUGCAAGCGUUAAUCGGAAUUACUGGGCGUAAAGCGUGCGCAGGCGGUUUGCUAAGACCGAUGUGAAAUCCCCGGGCUCAACCUGGGAACUGCAUUGGUGACUGGCAGGCUAGAGUAUGGCAGAGGGGGGUAGAAUUCCACGUGUAGCAGUGAAAUGCGUAGAGAUGUGGAGGAAUACCGAUGGCGAAGGCAGCCCCCUGGGCCAAUACUGACGCUCAUGCACGAAAGCGUGGGGAGCAAACAGGAUUAGAUACCCUGGUAGUCCACGCCCUAAAACGAUGUCAACUAGUUGUUGGGGAUUCAUUUCCUUAGUAACGUAGCUAACGCGUGAAGUUGACCGCCUGGGGAGUACGGUCGCAAGAUUAAAACUUAAAUGAAUUGACGGGGUCAUAGCUGUUU
rnacentral:rRNA from 1 species